AGCGCAGACCGUCUUAUCGCUGUCCUUUUAAGGAGAGAGGAAAGUCCGGACACCAUAGAGCAGCGUAGCGGGUAACACCCGUCAUUCCGUUUUGCGGAAUAGGACAAGUGCAACAGAAAGGAUGUACAGGUAAUGCUGUAGUGAAAUCAGGUAAACUCUAUGCGGUGAAAUGCCAUGUAUAUCAGCUUCCGGUUUUCCGGAAAGGGUGGCUCGCCCAAUGCUGAGGGGUAGGCAGAUGGAUUCCGUGAGUAAUUGCGGAACUAGAUAAAUGAUAAGAUUCCUUUUGGAAACAGAACCCGGCUUACAGGUCUGCUUUUUUU
rnacentral:RNase_P_RNA from 1 species